GGGGAUCAACAGGAACUCCCACACCUUCAACAGCAUAAGGCAGCACAUUCCCAAGAUCAUCAGUAUAUGGUCCAACAACGUAUUGGAUGAAGGAGAACAACGGAUUGUUAUAAAAGAACUGAGGUCUUAUGUACAUUGCGUUGUCGCCUCCAUUAAAGCUUCCAUCAGCCACGAAAGCAGCAACUGCAAGUAUUAGUGAUGUCAAGUAUGCACUUGCUGUACGAGCAACCGGAAUAUCGAAUAGAGCCUUUUUAUUUGGCAGCAAGGACUCAUAGUUAUUCAUAACACCCAGGCACCCAGUCCAAUUGGACGGAACAAGAAAAGAUGGACUAAGUUUAACACCAUAGCGUGCAGCAGUUACUCUUGUGGUUACCUCUGAAACUCCCAAAAUGGUCAAGAAGCCUCCAAAAAGAGGUACAACGUUAGCCAAGUAAUCAUCAAUCGUAGCAUCAGGCUUAAGGAAGAAACCACUGGUCAAAGCUAUAGUGCCAAAAGUUGUUACGGCCAAAGAUAUAGCACUGAUGUAGCCCCACGGAGUACUUAAUUUGGUUGAUUCAAAUUCAAGAUCCAUCUCUGACUUGGGUUGUACCACACAAGCCUGCUUUACAAUAUCAUUUGUCUUUUCCUCCAUAAACCACAAGACCACCUCCCGUCCAGCAGCCUCUGAUAACUUCUUCUCCAAUUUGGGUAUUACUUCAU
rnacentral:misc_RNA from 1 species